rnacentral:lncRNA from 1 species
AUUUUUGAUGAGCUUUGUUAUGUAGGUGAGUUGCCUCCAUGGAAACUUCCAUAGAACAAUUCCUUGUCAACAUGUACAGGCCUUCGGAUGGACUGCACCACACAGUAAAACAUGACUGCAUCUGUCCCGAAAGGGCCUGAAGGCAACAUUCAAAACAGCCCCUUCAAACUGAACUGAUUACAGAGGAAGUUAUUAGAUGAGAACAAAGUAAAAACGGUAGAAAAGGUAGCUACAAAAGAGCACAUGUGAGGGUUCAAUAUGCACAGUGGAGAAGAGAGAGCUUCUGCAGUAGCAGGCCAAGCAGGUCUGCUGGCAUUUUCCUCUACAGAUGGCUUGCCUAUGGAGUCAAUAGAGCAGGGCCCAUUAGAUGAGCAAGAUGGAUCUUUCUCAUGAAAAAUAAAGCCAAUUUGUACAUAAUGGUUAGUACA